UCCGUAGGCAGCAAGCGUUGUUCGGAAUUACUGGGCGUAAAGAGUGUGUAGGCGGUGCUCUAAGUUCGGUGUGAAAUCUCCCGGCUCAACUGGGAGGGUGCGCCGGAAACUGGAAUGCUUGAGCGUGGGAGAGGAAAGCGGAAUUCCUGGUGUAGCGGUGAAAUGCGUAGAUAUCAGGAGGAACACCUGCGGUGUAGACGGCUUUCUGGACCAUUGCUGACGCUGAGACACGAAAGCGUGGGUAGCAAACAGG
rnacentral:rRNA from 1 species